rnacentral:misc_RNA from 1 species
UUUCCGUAGGUGAACCUGCGGAAGGAUCAUUACUGAGUGAGGGCGCUCUGGGUCCAACUUCCCAGCCGUGUUUAUUGUAACUUGUUGCUUCGGUGAGCCCGCCUCACGGCCGCCGGUGGGCAUCUGCCCCCUGGCCCGCUCGCGCCGAAGAGACCCUUGAACUCUGUCUGAAGUUUGCAGUCUGAGCGAAAACUAAAUAAGUAAAAACUUUCAACAACGGAUCUCUUGGUUCCG